CUCUCACUCUCACUCUCACUCUCGUCUCUUCAGAAAAGUUGAAAAAGAGAAAUGUACAGCUCAAAAAGAAGACAACAAAGCUACUAUAGAAGUAGAAGACGAUACCCAUCUCUUAGAUUCAGCGAGAAGCUCAUUCUCUCUUGCUCUUAAAGGUAAUAAAACUGCACUAUCCGAGCCUAAUUUUAAGUUUGGAUUGUUAGAUAAAAUCUCUGCAUCGGAAGUCCUGAAGUUGAUUCAUUGUUUAUAUAGAGUGUCAGGAACGGAGAUCCAGAUCUGAAGCUAUUUCGAAGAAGCCAGACAGGCGGAGACCUGCUUCGCUGGAUUUGAACAAUGUUAUUGCUGCCUCAUCGCCGCGAUUGGGUGCCAUGAAAACGAGCUCGACUUCGUCGCGCAAGUCCGGUAUGUUUCCUAGUCCUGGCACACCUAAUUAUCGCCACGCUAGUGUUGGAUUGCAGAAGGGUUGGAGCUCGGAGCGAGUGCCAUUGCAUAACAAUGGUAAUAGGCGCCAAAUAAAUGCUGCGUUAUUGCCUUUCAAUAAUGGGAGGACGUUGCCAUCGAAAUGGGAGGAUGCUGAGAGGUGGAUAUUUAGUCCUGUUUCUGGAGAUGGUGCACUGAAAACGUCUCUUCAACAUCCUCAGCGGAGGCCAAAGUCGAAGAGUGGACCGCUUGGGCCUCCUGGGAUUGCGUAUUAUUCGUUGUAUUCGCCUGCCAUGCCAGUAUUUGAAGGAGGGAAUGCGGGAAAUUUCAUCGCAGGUUCUCCUUUUUCAGCUGGUGUUAUUGCAGCGGAUGGACUGUCUAUUCCGUCUAAUGGCCAUGGUUUGGCCUUUUCUGCGCGGACAGAGCCUUGCAUGGCCCGUUCGGUUAGUGUGCACGGGUGCUCUGAGGCGUUGGCCCAGUCCUCGUUGCCCUCCCAAGAUGAGAAGCUUGAUGAUGUGAAGAAUGCAGCGGCUGAUAUGCCUUCUUCCGUUUCAAGAAGGGACAUGGCAACCCAAAUGAGUCCUGAGGGUAGCAACCAUUCAUCUCCAAGCGGGAGGGCAUCAUUCUCUGUUUCCACUCCAUCUGCGCUAACUAUUAUGGAACUGGAGAAUAUCCAUUCCUCCAAAUCAGAAGUCAGGGAUGUGGAGGUGGAUGAAAAGGUUACUUUCACGAGGUGGACUAAGAAACAUAGGGUUCGCAACCAGGGGAAGAGAUCAGAAAUUGUUGAUGACUGGAGAAAGAAAACUGCUGAUGCUCGAUGUUCAGGUUGGGACGUUGCAGAGGCUGCAAAGAGCAUUUCAAAGGCCAAAAGAGAGGAAGCCAAAAUCAGUGCAUGGGAGAAUCUGCAGAAGGCAAAAGCUGAGGCAGCAAUAAGGAAACUUG
rnacentral:misc_RNA from 1 species